rnacentral:rRNA from 1 species
GACACGGCCCAGACUCCUACGGGAGGCAGCAGUAGGGAAUUUUCGGCAAUGGGGGAAACCCUGACCGAGCAAUGCCGCGUGAAUGAUGAAAUUCUUCGGAAUGUAAAAUUCUGUUGUGAGGGAAGAAAGGUAGUAUCAGGAAAUGGGUAUUACUUGACGGUACCUUACUAGAAAGCCCCGGCUAACUAUGUGCCAGCAGCCGCGGUAAUACAUAGGGGGCGAGCGUUAUCCGGAAUUAUUGGGCGUAAAGCGUGCGUAGGCGGCCGUUUAAGUCUGUCGUGAAAGCCCACAGCUUAACUGUGGAGGGUCGAUGGAAACUGGAUGGCUUGAAUCUAGAAGAGGUAAGUGGAAUUCCAUGUGUAGCGGUAAAAUGCUUAGAUAUAUGGAGGAACACCAGUGGCGAAGGCGGCUUACUGGUCUAGCAUUGACGCUGAGGCACGAAAGCGUAGGUAGCAAACAGGAUUAGAUACCCUGGUAGUCUACGCUGUAAACGAUGAGCACUAAGUGUCGGACGUAAGUUCGGUGCUGUAGUUAACGCAUUAAGUGCUCCGCCUGGGGAGUACGGUCGCAAGACUGAAACUCAAAGGAAUUGACGGGGACUCGCACAAGCGGUGGAGCAUGUGGUUUAAUUCGACGCAACGCGAAAAACCUUACCAGGCCUUGACAUCCCUAUGACCGCUCUAGAGAUAGAGUUUCCUCUUCGGAGGUAUAGGUGACAGGUGGUGCAUGGUUGUCGUCAGCUCGUGUCGUGAGAUGUUGGGUUAAGUCCCGCAACGAGCGCAACCCUUAUCAUUAGUUGCUAACAUUAAGUUGAGCACUCUAAUGAGACUGCCAGCGACAAGUUGGAGGAAGGUGGGGAUGACGUCAAAUCAUCAUGCCCCUUAUGGCCUGGGCUACACACGUGCUACAAUGGCCGGUACAAAGAGCAGCGAAAUUGUGAAAUGGAGCAAAUCUCAAAAAGCCGGUCUCAGUUCGGAUUGUAGUCUGCAACUCGACUACAUGAAGUUGGAAUCGCUAGUAAUCGUGGAUCAGCAUGCCACGGUGAAUACGUUCUCGAGUCUUGUACACACCGCCCGUCACACCAUGAGAGUUUGUAAUACCCGAAGCCGGUGGCUUAACCGCAAGGAGAGAGCCGUCUAAGGUAGGACAGAUGAUUGGGGUGAAGUCGUAACAAGGUAUCCCUACGAGAACGUGGGGAUG